GCGCGUGACCCGUUUUAGUCAUUUCAAUCGAAAUCCAGGGAUAUGGAUGUAAUCAAACACCAUAAAUGCAUUUCCAUCUUUAAACACACACGAUAACGUAGUUCAUUUCUUUCCCGCAUCGCUGCGAAUUCCAGCAUCGACUGUGAGUGAAAAGCAGAUUAGCGGAGGGGAAAACAUGGAUGGACAAGAUUCAGAUGAUUCAAAGCAAAAUACUGCUGAUAUGACAGUUUUUGU